rnacentral:rRNA from 1 species
UGCUGGAAGGUUAAUUGAUGGGGUUAUGCUUAUGCAGAAGCUCUUGAUCGAAGCCCCAGUAAACGGCGGCCGUAACUAUAACGGUCCUAAGGUAGCGAAAUUCCUUGUCGGGUAAGUUCCGACCUGCACGAAUGGCGUAAUGAUGGCCAGGCUGUCUCCACCCGAGACUCAGUGAAAUUGAAAUUGCCGUGAAGAUGCGGUGUACCCGUGGCAAGACGGAAAGACCCCGUGAACCUUUACUAUAGCUUGACAGUGAACAUUGAGCCUUAAUGUGUAGGAUAGGUGGGAGACAAAGAAGUGUGUACGCCAGUAUGCAUGGAGUCGCCCUUGAAAUACCACCCUUUAAUGUUUGAUGUUCUAACCUAUACUUCUGAAUCGAGGUAAGGGACACUGUCUGGUGGGUAGUUUGACUGGGGCGGUCUCCUCCCAAAGAGUAACGGAGGAGCACGAAGGUUAGCUAAUCCUGGUCGGACAUCAGGAGGUUAGUGCAAUGGCAAAAGCUAGCUUGACUGCGAGAGUGACGGCUCGAGCAGGUACGAAAGUAGGUCAUAGUGAUCCGGUGGUUCUGAAUGGAAGGGCCAUCGCUCAACGGAUAAAAGGUACUCCGGGGAUAACAGGCUGAUACCGCCCAAGAGUUCAUAUCGACGGCGGUGUUUGGCACCUCGAUGUCGGCUCAUCACAUCCUGGGGCUGAAGUAGGUCCCAAGGGUACGGCUGUUCGCCGUUUAAAGUGGUACGCGAGCUGGGUUUAGAACGUCGUGAGACAGUUCGGUCCCUAUCUGCCAUGGGCGUAGGAAAAUUGAGAGGGUUUGCUUCUAGUACGAGAGGACCGAAGUGAACGCACCGCUGGUGUUCGGGUUGUGAUGCCAAUUGCAUUGCCCGGUAGCUACGUGCGGAAUAGAUAAGUGCUGAAAGCAUCUAAGUACGAAACUAGCCUUGAGAUGAGUUUUCCCUGAAGAGAUUCAGUAAGGUCCGUUUGAGACUAAGACGUAGAUAGGUCAGGUGUGUAAGUGUAGUGAUACAUUGAGCUAACUGAUACUAAUGAACCGAGAGUCUUAACCUUACAACUC